UAGGGAAUCUUCCGCAAUGGACGAAAGUCUGACGGAGCAACGCCGCGUGAGUGAAGAAGGAUUUCGGUUCGUAAAACUCUGUUGUUAGGGAAGAAAAAAUGUAUAGUAACUAUAUACAAAAGAGACGGUACCUAACCAGAAAGCCACGGCUAACUACGUGCCAGCAGCCGCGGUAAUACGUAGGUGGCAAGCGUUGUCCGGAAUUAUUGGGCGUAAAGCGCGCGCAGGUGGUUUAGAAAGUCUGAUGUGAAAGCCCACGGCUCAACCGUGGGGGGUCAUUGGAAACUAAUAAGCUUGAGUGCAGGAGAGAAAAGUGGAAUUCCUAGUGUAGCGGUGAAAUGCGUAGAGAUUAGGAGGAACACCGGUGGCGAAAGCGGCUUUUUAGCCGGCAAAUGACACUGAGGCGUGAAAGCGUGGGGAGCAAACAGG
rnacentral:rRNA from 1 species